rnacentral:rRNA from 1 species
GACGAACGCUGGCGGCGUGCUUAACACAUGCAAGUCGAACGGAAAGGCCCUGCUUUUGUGGGGUGCUCGAGUGGCGAAAGGGUGAGUAACACGUGAGUAACCUGCCCUUGACUUUGGGAUAACUUCAGGAAACUGGGGCUAAUACCGGAUAGGAGCUCCUGCUGCAUGGUGGGGGUUGGAAAGUUUCUGCGGUUGGCGAUGGACUCGCGGCUUAUCAGCUUGUUGGUGGGGUAGUGGCUUACCAAGGCUUUGACGGGUAGCCGGCCUGCGAGGGUGACCGGCCACAUUGGAACUGAGAUACGGCCCAGACUCCUACGGGAGGCAGCAGUGGGGAAUAUUGCACAAUGGGCGGAAGCCUGAUGCAGCAACGCCGCGUGCUGGAUGACGGCCUUCGGGUUGUAAUCCGCUUUCGCCUGUGACGAAGCGUGAGUGACGGUAAUGGGUAAAGAAGCACCGGCUAACUACGUG